UACGAGGGGGGCAAAUGUUGUUCGGAAUCACUGGGCGUAAAGCGUGCGCAGGCGGUUCGUUGUGUCGGUGGUGAAAGCCCCGGGCUUAACCUGGGAAUGGCCAUGGAAACUGGCGAACUGGAGUGUGGCAGAGGGGGGUGGAAUUCCGCGUGUAGCAGUGAAAUGCGUAGAGAUGCGGAGGAACACCGAUGGCGAAGGCAGCCCCCUGGGCUAACACUGACGCUCAGGCACGAAAGCGUGGGGAGCAAACAGG
rnacentral:rRNA from 1 species